CGUUGAAGGGGCGAAGACCUCCCCUGCUCCCAUGCCUGCUCCCCACACCUGCUGCGGUGGCCUUAUUUACACCAUCACCAGUUGGAAAUAUACAAGGGGAGGGGCCCCUGAAAGCAAGACUGUCUGUGCUAUGACCAGACCAUGAGGCAACUUUCAACAUAUCAAUUCAUCUUUACUGACACUGAUGCAGGAGAUGCAUUUAUAUUCCAAGAGAGGCCGCAGGUCAGGGUGAACAACAAAAUUGCUUCCCUGGCUUUGACUGGGAUUCAGCAUCUAGCUCAAGGACACUUCAGUCCUGCAGUGCAGAUGCUUGCUGGUACCUGGAUUGUCCAUCUAAAGAUCCAAUCAAAAGUGCUCUGUGCUAUGUCACAGCUAUGACUUCUUCCUGAGAGGUCACCUACAAGUAUGUUCACACUUACUGUAUCUGAUUCCCAUCUGGAGUUGAGUGAGAGGGUGAUGUGGACAGACCCCUUUUCAUCAAACUUUAAAAAGUUGUGAAAACAUGUCUCCAUGUUUCCUGCAGCACAUAGUCUAAGCUAGUGGUU